CGAGGGGGGGCGAGCGUUGUUCGGAAUUACUGGGCGUAAAGGGUUCGUAGGUGGCUGGCUAAGUCAGACGUGAAAUCCCUCAGCUUAACUGGGGAACUGCGUCUGAGACUGGCGAGCUUGAGUGCAGGAGAGGAACGCGGAAUUCCAGGUGUAGCGGUGAAAUGCGUAGAUAUCUGGAGGAACACCGGUGGCGAAGGCGGCGUUCUGGACUGCAACUGACACUGAGGAACGAAAGCCAGGGUAGCAAACGGGAUUAGAUACCCCGGUAGUCCUGGCCCUAAACGAUGAAUGCUUGGUGUGGCGGGUAUCGAUCCCUGCCGUGCCGAAGUUAACGCGUUAAGCAUUCCGCCUGGGGAGUACGGUCGCAAGGCUAG
rnacentral:rRNA from 1 species